CAUUAAGUUACUUAAAGCAAGUAAUGGUCUCUUAAACCAAUUUAUGGUAGUUUAGCGUUUACCCUUAAUGA
rnacentral:tRNA from 1 species